rnacentral:rRNA from 1 species
GAUCGUAAAGCUCUGUGGGGGGAGAAGAAGAAAGUCGGUGAAGAGCCGGCCCUGACGGUAUCCCCUUAGCAAGCACCGGCUAACUCCGUGCCAGCAGCCGCGGUAAUACGGAGGGUGCAAACGUUGCUCGGAAUCAUUGGGCGUAAAAGCGCGCGUAGGCGGCUGAACAAGUUGGAUGUGAAAGCCCUGGGGCUCAACCUAGGAUGUGCAUUCAAAAACUGUUCGGCUUGAGUCUCGGAGGGGGUCAGAGAAUUCUCGGUGUAGAGGUGAAAUUCGUAGAUAUCGGGAGGAACACCAGUGGCGAAAGGCGCUGACCUGGACGAUGACUGACGCUGAGGCGCGAAAGCGUGGGGAGCAAACAGGAUUAGAUACCCUGGUAGUCCACGCCGUAAACGAUGAGUGCUAGACGCUGGCGGAUUGACCCCGUCGGUGUCGAAGCUAACGCGUUAAGCACUCCGCCUGGGGAGUACGGUCGCAAGACUAAAAACUACAAAA